CCUUGUUCGACGGACCCGCCCGCACCUAUUUUUUUCAAAACAGAUUUUUUUUUUGAUAUACAUUCCCGCUUCCAGCAUUUGGAAAUGUAAUCAUGUUCAUUUCCCGCACCGUUUUUUUUUGUGUAAAUAUUAUAAAAAGAUAUCAACAUUUGUUUUUAAAAUCACAGUCUAACCUGUAAAUAACGAUUUUAAACAUAAAAGCACCCCACCACACUUUGUAAAUAUCUGUGAGAAUAUUUGUUUCAGCAUGAAACCUAUUUAUCCAAAGCGGGAGUGCUCCGUAAUAAAUUUAUAACAGCGGAAAUACCUGUAAAGAACAAAAA
rnacentral:lncRNA from 1 species